UAGCCUAGUGGUUAAGGCUAUGGAUUGCCAAACCAGAGACGGUGGGUUCGAUUCCCGU
rnacentral:tRNA from 1 species